UCCAGGUCGCGGGUGCUGGGAAGAGCUGGUGGCUCCCUAAAUCGUCCCGGGCUUUCAGCACGGAGCACUGGGGGAUGGUGCCACAGUGGGUCCUCCCAGGGCACUCCCCCCCCAUUUCUUUUUGGGGGAGAAGAGUUUUUCCCGGCAACUCCAUCCCACAGCAGAGCUGGGAAUGAAGAUCCCUGAGACCGACAGGAGCAGGAGCAUGUGGAGGACCCCCUCUGCACUAAACUGAUGAAGAGUUAAAACUGCAGCAUUUCUUUCUUCCAGUCCAUGGAAGAUCCCGGCAGCUCCGGGCCACAACCACUCCGUGCCCGGGGUAGUUGGGAUGUUGGCAGUGGACACGGUUUCAGCAUAAUUUAACACAAUCUCUACCAAUUUGUUACACCUAAGCGGAGGCAGAUGUGCAUCCAUAUUCAUUUUGGAGGAACUUCAGGAAUUAUAACUUCAUCAGCCAAGGCUGCCCGACGCCAACGCCGCCAGCCCGAGUUCCUGUGCAGGAGGAGAAGGUGCCAUGGUAGGACAUUGGCCAAAUCCAGCCCUGCUCAAGUGCCAUGCCAUGAGGUCCCCAGCCUAGAGGAAAGGAGCCCUGUUCCAGGCAGAGGACAUGGAGACACCACAUCCCCUUCCUGGCCAGUGCAGCUCCAGUGCU